UACAGAGGUGGCAAGCGUUGUUCGGAAUUAUUGGGCGUAAAAGGCUCGUAGGCGGUCUGUUGCGUCGGGAGUGAAAACUCAGGGCUUAACCCUGAGCCUGCUUCCGAUACGGGCAGACUAGAGGUAUGCAGGGGAGAACGGAAUUCCUGGUGUAGCGGUGAAAUGCGCAGAUAUCAGGAGGAACACCGGUGGCGAAGGCGGUUCUCUGGGCAUUACCUGACGCUGAGGAGCGAAAGUGUGGGGAGCGAACAGG
rnacentral:rRNA from 1 species